CCUACGGGGGCUGCAGUGGGGAAUAUUGGACAAUGGGCGAAAGCCUGAUCCAGCCAUGCCGCGUGUGUGAAGAAGGCCUUCGGGUUGUAAAGCACUUUCAGUGGGGAAGAAAGCCUUGGGGCUAAUACCCUCGAGGAAGGACAUCACCCACAGAAGAAGCACCGGCUAACUCCGUGCCAGCAGCCGCGGUAAUACGGAGGGUGCGAGCGUUAAUCGGAAUUACUGGGCGUAAAGCGCGCGUAGGCGGUCUGAUAAGCCGGUUGUGAAAGCCCCGGGCUCAACCUGGGAACGGCAUCCGGAACUGUCAGGCUAGAGUGCAGGAGAGGAAGGUAGAAUUCCCGGUGUAGCGGUGAAAUGCGUAGAGAUCGGGAGGAAUACCAGUGGCGAAGGCGGUCUUCUGGACUGACACUGACGCUGAGGUGCGAAAGCGUGGGUAGCAAACAGGAUUAGAUACCCUGGUAGUC
rnacentral:rRNA from 1 species